CCCGCUGAACUUAAGCAUAUCAAUAAGCGGAGGAAAAGAAACUAACAAGGAUUCCCCUAGUAACUGCGAGUGAAGCGGGAUGAGCUCAAAUUUAAAAUCUGGCGUGCCUCUGGUCGUCCGAGUUGUAGUCUGGAGAAGCGUUUUCCGUGUUGGACCGUGUAUAAGUCUCUUGGAACAGGGCGUCAUAGAGGGUGAGAAUCCCGUCUUUGACACGGACUACCAAUGCUUUGUGAUGCGCUCUCAAAGAGUCGAGUUGUUUGGGAAUGCAGCUCAAAAUGGGUGGUAAAUUCCAUCUAAAGCUAAAUAUAGGCGAGAGACCGAUAGCGAACAAGUACCGUGAGGGAAAGAUGAAAAGCACUUUGGAAAGAGAGUUAAACAGUACGUGAAAUUGCUGAAAGGGAAACGCUUGAAGUCAGUCACGUCUGCCAGGACUCAGCCUUGCUUCUGCUUGGUGUACUUUCUGGUUUGAUGGGCCAACAUCAAUUUUGACCGUUGGAGAAAGGCUUUGGGAAUGUGGCACCUUUUGGUGUGUUAUAGCCCUUUGUCGUAUGCAACGGUUGGGAUUGAGGACUGCAGCACGCCUUUAUGGCCGGGGUUCGCCCACGUACGUGCUUAGGGUGUUGGCAUAAUGGCUUUAAGCGACCCGUCUUGAAACACGG
rnacentral:rRNA from 1 species